UGGCAGAACGUAAGCAGGAGACUGACUGCCAGAACGCAUGCUCAGUUGGGGGCACCGUGUGGGGCGUCAUCCAGCCUGCAUGGAGAGCUUUGAGCGCAGCCUGGUAGAACUCUGUAUUACCUUCUGUUCUGAUGCCUGAGCUCUGCCAGACUUUUGCUUGGAAAAGCAUCUUUAUGAAGCAGUACAUUUGUUAUGUUGUAUCUGAGAAUCCUUUCCUUUCGCCUUGGUCCCUGCUUUUAACUUGAGGGGCGUGACUUGUUCUCUUGAGCAGCUCUUACAGGAGAGACCAAAAGGAUGCAAGGCAGGGUACCAGGCAGACCUUCCUGGGGGUGGGCCAGGGGGGGACAUUUUAUUCUGCUAAAAUUAGCGUAAGACAAUAGGAGUUUUUUGUGCAGAUGCUGUAGUCAGCUAAUAGAAGUCAGAUUCUUUUCCAGGGUAAGGUACUUGUUGGUCCCCAUGAAAAAAAAAAAAAAAAAAGGAGGGGAUAGAAGGGAAAUUGCUGCUUUUAUCAAUAAAAACAUACAGAGCUGAAUACCUACACAAAGAAAUUUUCAGUAUAAUUUAUGGCAUUUCAUCAUGUUGAACUGCAUUUCAAGUAAUUCACCCUGGCAGUUUUACUCUCAAAAUGGAAGUCUUUGUACUUUUCUUGUCUUCAUCACAUAAAAUGAGUUUGUGUUCAACUGUAGUCCAUAUACUUGAUAAUUUGUCUGACUGGGUAAGGUUGUUAGCAAUUUAAGAAAUAAACCCAUUUGGAUUUUCAGAGAUUGUUAACAGAAAAAGGAGACCGCUAUGAUGAUCUCUUAAAAAUUACAAUGUAACACACAAAAGUGAGAUUUAAGUAACAAGAUUUUCCAUACACCAGUAACGCCAGGGAAAUUCAAACUCAAAUUCCCUCAAUUAAUUUCCAGGGAUUAAGCAGUCAGGUGUUGCAGUCAGUGAAAAAUACGAUUCACAAAGCUUGAGAGGUCAAUUCAAUUCAGAAAAGCAAAGCAAACCGCACAGUCUUUAGAGUUUCUGAGACUAAAGUGCAUUCAGAUCAAUUGGGUGAAAGAUUUUGUAAGAUUCUCCAGUGUGGUCAGAGUAAAGUGAAAAGCAGUGGUCACAGCCAGAGGAUCCUGAAAGUUUGACUGAUAGAAUGUCAAACCUGUAAGGCACUUGGAGGUGACUUAACCCCACAGUUUUAUGAAGGAGGAAAUUGAGACUUGAGGAUAUUGAAUGACUUGGCUGACACCACUCUGCCGAUCUGUAUAGGUCCUCACUCUCUUGCCUUUCAGACAGAGAUCUUUCAAACUCUCCCAUAAAAUUCUUUCAGGGAUUAGUGAUUUUCUUGAGUUGGUUUCUUUUGAUUUUAUAUUUUAUAGUGGGAAUGAUAAUAAUUCUUGGGUAAAAUAGUACUACAGAGAAUUUCCAAAAUUGGCACUAUUUUUAACUUUCAUUUAGCCUCUUGUGACAUUGCAAAGAAGGCAUAUGGCAGUCAUUUUACAUUUGGAUUCAACUUUUCAAUUUGUAGAACACUUGAACAUCUAAGAGUUGCCAAUAAUAGAAACUACUUACUAUGUAAUCCAUUUGCAAAUAAGUUAUUGAGCUUGGGCAAGGUUAAAAGACUUUGCCAAGGUCACAUAACCAGGCAAUAAAGAAGUGGGUACUUGAACCUAGCACUUUUUACUGUUUACACUGUACAAGUUGUGGAUGGAUAACUAUGGUAAAAGGGUCAACUCAAAGUUCUUACUGUGGAGAGACUGAAGUGUUCAUUGGCUAUCUACUUGUAAGAACUUUGCUUGAUGGCUAAGAACAUGAGAUUUAGACUCAAACAGAAAUUCCAUCUCUAUCUUAAACUAGUUUGGGGACAUUGGUUAAGUGAUCUCUUGAAGUCUCAAUGGUCUCAUUUGCUUAAUGGCGAUAAUAAUAAUCAUAAAUUUUCUAUAACUAUUAAGUGGCUAAUAUGUGUAAAAACAGUGUGUCUCAUUGUUUGGCAUGCAAUAAACACUGCAUGCUAUUAUUCUCAGCUAUAAGUAAUGUUUCUCUUUUAUCAUUAAUAUAUAAAGAUGUAUAUAAUUUAUUUAUAUAUGUUUAUAUAUAGAUAUAUAGAGGGAGUUAAGUUUAUAUGAGCUUCAGUAAACCCUGCCAAUAAUUAUGCCUUAUAUCUUUCAGAAUGCAAGCCCCUUAAGAGCAGAGAUAUGUGUUUUGUCUUUGGUGUAAAAUACCAACAGUGACAAGGCUUGUCCAGCCAUUUAUCCCCAGAGCCUCGUGUGUUCCUGGAAGAAGAUAGGUGUUCAAUAAACAGGUUUUAUCAUUGAAGUAGAGUUUAAUAAAUGGUUUUGAAAAUAAUUCCUACCCUGGGUGGACUGGCUGAUUGGCUUGCUUGGAUGUUUAUGUAUUUAUUUGGAGUAUGAGAUCAAAGUGUGAAUUUGCUCUUCUGUUUUAAGGUCUCAGUUACCACAUGCUGCUCGCAUGGUUAGCAUCUUCCUCUGAAGUUGCUCCUCUGGUGUUUAAAGUUAUUGUACAUACCUCUUAUAGCAUGGUUUCUAGCCAAUUGUCUAAUAAUAACUAUAUUAUCUGAUGCUUAACUAAAGGAACUAUCCAGCCCAGUGGUAGAGGUAAAAAAUUGGCUGUGCUGAACUUACUGAGAAAUGAUACUAUAUUUACUGUGCUUUUUGAAAUGGAAAGGUUUUAAUGAUACACAAUGUUUAAUUUAUAUACAACUUCAGCUACCUCGUAAGAUUCAGCUCAACUGUUCAAAAACUGAUAUUUUUAUUCUAUCUUGUAUUAAUUUAUUUACGAGUGAGGUUGAAUUACAUGUAUAUAUACAUGUAUAUAUUUCCUACAACCAGUUGGUGAGGAAGAAAAAGCUCUAACACAGUUUACAGAUAUUUCUGCACGGUAUUCAGGCACCACCCAGAAAUGGACGGUGCAGCAUGACAGUCCCUUUCUGGGACAUCUUUGAAGGACAGCGGAGAAGGAAAAUCCUACCAUUGAGCAGACAUUUGAGCAGGACACCUGGAUACGCACUGGAAGGAGACAUGACAAGCGCCACCUGGGACUCAGACAGAAGGCUAAGAGGCUGGCCGGAGGACAUUAAGUUCUAAACCUAUCAUCAUAAUAAAGCCCCAGUGGGCAGCCUUGCCUGCCUGGUCUGCAAUCUGUACCCCGCGGUGAACCCAGCUGAUCUCAUGCCGUUUCAGGACCUACUGCCAUAGUCUUUGUGAAAUACGACAAGGGCCUGAACCAAGUCGUUGGCAGUGGUAAUGGAGAGGUAGUGACGUUGACGUGGGGAUUUCCAGACAGCAGUCACUAUGCAGCCAUUCAAGGGUAAUAUCUAAAACAGGUAACGAUCGGUUUGGCAAGAACACUAACCAACAACGUUGAUGCCAUGGACAAUCUGAAAGGACUCCAAACAUAAACAACACUGUAGCUGUGAGCCAUCACGCACCAGCUGUCUCAGCUUUGACUUCCAUGAUGGUUUCAGGUCACAUUUUCAAAAGUUCCAGUUAAAAGAGAUUUCUGAGCAAUAGCAUAGAGGUUAGAGGCUAAGAAGGGGAGCUUGAUUAUUCAAAUGCCCUGGCAGAGGGCAGGUCGCUGACAGGGUCACCAGUGCUUGUGUUGUUGCGGGCUGGUCUGAGUGAAUGAGUAGCUGUGUUUAAUGACCAUGGCUUAAGAACCUUUAGAAGAGGCUUACUCUUGAGAAUUCACCAGGAAGUACCUGACUAUAUCAUGCACAAAGGUUAGACUUCUGCUUUCAUAUUCCUACAAAGCUGUAUCAUGCACAGACAUCUAACCUAUUGAUCUGACUUUCCUGUGGACUUAGGGAAGGCAAGUCAUUUCACAAUUCAUGAAAUUAAAACAUCAUUCUUAAGCUGAUGAUAAGCCUGCUAACUGUUCAUCCUGACUUGGCCCAGAAAUGCCCUACAACAUUUCACAGUAAGAUCUUUCAAACUGAAAGAUUAAUUUUGAUAUGGAAAAAAAGGCUGCAUUCCUAUUGCAUUUGAUCUUUGAAAUGGUAAAAUUCCUGAUUAUUUGAGGCUCGAAGACUUUUCUUUUUCGAUUCACUAACCUGGCAAGUUUUAUCAGUAAUAAAGAGAACAAAUAACUAACCUGAUCAAUGCCAGCAUCUCCUUUGGACUUUCCUAAGUAUUAAAACAUAACUAACAUUUACACUGGUUGGAGUUGUAUGUGUUUCAUUUUGUCUCUGAGUUAAACAUUAGCUAUUUUUGUCCUACCCUAUUCUGUUAUCACAUA